rnacentral:rRNA from 1 species
UACGUAGGGCGCAAGCGUUGUCCGGAUUUAUUGGGCGUAAAGAGCUCGUAGGCGGUCCGUCACGUCGGCUGUGAAAACCCGAGGCUCAACCUCGGGCCUGCAGUCGAUACGGGCAGACUAGAGUGCGGUAGGGGAGACUGGAAUUCCUGGUGUAGCGGUGAAAUGCGCAGAUAUCAGGAGGAACACCGGUGGCGAAGGCGGUUCUCUGGGCAUGAUCUGACGCUGAGGAGCGAAAGUGUGGGGAGCGAACAGG